CGGCAACAGCUCAAAUUUGAAAUCUGGCCUCCUUGCGGGGUCCGAGUUGUAGUUUGCAGAGGGAGCUUUGGCUUGUGGGAGCGUUCUAAGUCCCUUGGAACAGGGCAUCACAGAGGGUGAGAAUCCCGUACGUGAGCGCCCCCGCUGCCGUGUAAAGCCCCUUCGAC
rnacentral:rRNA from 1 species